ensembl:lncRNA
CUGGAGGUAAGGGGGCAGGCAGGGGGCUGGAGGUAAGGGGAGGAGGCAGGGGGCUGAGAGCUGGAGGUAAGCGGGGCAGGCAGGGGGCUGGAGGUAAGGGGAGGAGGCAGGGGACUGAGGGCUGGAGGUAAGGGGGCAGGCAGGGGGCUGGAGGUAAGGGGAGGAGGCAGGGGACUGGAGGUAAGAGGGGGAGGCAGGGGACAGAGGGCUGGAGGCAAGGGAAGGAGGCAGGGGAUUGAGGGCUGGAGGUAGGGGACUGAGGGCUGGAGGUAAGGGGAGGAGGCAGGGGGCUGGAGGUAAGGGGAGGAGGCAG